GCCAGGCGUGGUGGCGGGCGCCUGUAAUCCCAGCUACUCAGGAGGCUGAGGCAGGAGAAUCACUUGAAUCUGGGAGGUGGAGCUUGCAGUGAGCCGAGAUCGCGCCACUGCACUCCAGCCUGGGCAACAAAGUGAGAUUCUGUCUCAA
rnacentral:SRP_RNA from 1 species